rnacentral:misc_RNA from 1 species
GAUGAAGAACGUAGCGAAAUGCGAUAAGUAGUGUGAAUUGCAGAAUUCAGUGAAUCAUCGAAUCUUUGAACGCACAUUGCGCCCCUUGGUAUUCCAUGGGGCAUGCCUGUUCGAGCAUCAUUUGUACCUUCAAGCUCUGCUUGGUGUUGGGUGUUUGUCUCGCCUCUGCGUGUAGACUCGCCUCAAAACAACUGGCAGCCGGCGUAUUGAUUUCGGAGCGCAGUACAUCUCGCGCUUUGCACUCAUAACGACGACGUCCAAAAGUACAUUUUACACUCUUGACCUCGGAUCAGGUAGGGAUACCCGCUGAACUUAAGCAUAUCAAUAAGCGGAGGA